CGUGCCCGGGCCCCCUGGCGACCGUCUCCUCUUGGGCUCCGUUAGUUGAGGUAGUGCGAUAGCGGAAAGAACAAACGUUUCAUUGCUUGUCAUCGGUACCGCCAGAGUUAAAACCAAGACGGCAAUGCCCAGGGAAAGAAUGAAUGUUGGGAUGUGCGUUCGGCAAAUCUUUGCUCUGUGAACAAACUGCCUUCACAGGAAUGUCAGUGAAUGAGGUCUGCUCUCAUAUGAUAUCAAAAAGCUAAAUCAUAGCUUGGGGACCUGGGCUCUUCCCUCAAGCUGUAACAGCCGAGGGUUUAUUGAUGGCAAUGCCCAGUUCGUCACAUGUUUGUAAGAGGAACACCUCCCUGAGAGCAUUUCUGUGUUCAGAGAAGACCCCCGUGUGGGUGACCUAUUCUGAAAGUGCACAGGUUAGAAAAUUUCCCAAGAUUUUGUGGUGACUGACAGCGUGCACCAGCUGCGAACAGUGAGGCAGUGGGAGCUGGUUGUGGCGGGGUGGGACAGGGAAUGUCUGGCUUUUCACCUCAGUCAAGGAAGUUGGGAGGUUUCUGUGGUGACACCAAUCUGAUUUUCUUUGUCUUCACAAUGAAAAGUAUGACCUAACAACUGGUAAGCCUUUUGAGAAAAUCCGUGGAUUAUUCUUAGAAAGCUGAUAAUUGUAAGUGAUUUUACUUUAUACUGCUGCUUUAUUCUGCUGCUUUUAUAGAAAGGCUUACUGAUUUUCAGAGGCUGAGGCUUGUUUCCUAAGUGGAUCUACUGCUCUGUUUCUGAACGAGCUGCCUCACUAACCACUUCUAAAAUGUCCUUUUAUUGAAUUACUAUGUGACAAGAAAGUUUACAAGAAGAGUUACUUUUUGAACUGUAUGAACAGUACUACUCUUCUCCUUUUAAAGACUACGAAAUAUAUGCAAAGACUGGAAACAAAGUUUCAGGUAUUCAAAAGUAACCUGAUGUAUUAGGUGUUUCUUCACGCUACCCUAAUUGAUUGCUUCCCAGCUUUGUUUCUUAGUAACUCGUGUAUAGUCUAGUAAGUACCUCUGAAAGUCUCUACAUGUUAGCCUUGUACAGGCGUUAUAAUAUAUUUUGGGAAAGUUUUCUAUGAUAGUCUAUGUCUUUUGUAAAAGCUAAAAAAAAUUAGUUUCAACACCAUUUUAAAAAGUACAAAAGUUAAGAAAUGUGAAUGAAUGGUGUUUCUAACUCAAUAGAGUUUCAAUAACCUAAUGAAAUUUAGUCUUAAUUAACCUUUACAGAAAAACCACACAAUCUGUUAAGUGAAUGACACUUUGAAGGAUAACACUGCCCUUGCUUUCUUUGGCUGUGGUAAGUGUUGCUUUGCUCUGAAUAUGUGUAUGAUCUUUGUGGUAUUGUGAGGAAGAUAGAAAUGCCAGCCAGCCCUCUUUACUGAUUAGUGAGCAACAGAGCAUGCUGGCUAUGGGAUCAUGGAAACAAAUACUAGAAUUCAAUUAACUCUAAUAAUCUUCAACUGAUCAGUAGCUGCAGGAUUUUUUAAUUUUUUAAAUUUUUUUUUUAUUUUAAUAAUCUGGCCAGUUUAGAGGGCUUUGCCAGGGAAAAUGCUGGAUAUUUGUGCCUGUGUGUACUCUGCCUGCUGAUAGGAAUAUUUUGUUCUGUAAUUGUUCUUUAAGCCAAGAGGAACAGCUAAGUUACUAUGCCGAUUUAACAGGUAAUAAGAAGGAAAAACCUAACAGAAAACCACCAGAAAUCUCUCCUUAGGAGAGGCAGUCAACAAACCAUUAAAGCUGUGAAAAGCAGAGGAACCUUAAAGCAUUUUGUGUUGCUAUCCAGUUUCACCUCGGGUGUAUUUUGAACAAGACUGAAAGAGCUGGCACUGGAGAACCAUGGAGGGAAAUCUCAGCUUCAUCCCAGCGAAACCUUUUGCAGCAAAGACGUCAAUGAACGGCCACAUCUCACUGUGGCUGAGAAUGGCAGGAUAUUGUCUGUUACACCUCACAGUUCCAGCACCGAUCCUGGUUUGUCAGCUCGAUCCCUGAGGGCAGCACUGUGCCCUUGCCUUUGCGUGGGGCUGCUCCCAGGAGGAACAGGCGCCUUUGUUCCUGGGCAGCUGUGCUGCCAGGGGCUUCUGGCACAGCAGACCCCAACGCUCAGCUGCCUGCCCAAGCAGGGACCUUAAAAAUGUCAGUCUGAGGGGACCUUGCCCUGAGAGAUGACAUUAAAAUUAUACACUUGCCUUUUUCUCGAGAUGCUUGGCAUUAAUUUCAUAGGUGCCUCUUUGUGGCAUCCCUGCCAGAAUGCACUUCCUGGUGCAGGUCAGAGCCCUGUGGGCAGCUCAGCCUGGUUCUUGGUGGGCACGUGGGGUUGUGGGUGCUGGUGAUGAAGGAGGAUGGUGGCUGUGCAGCAGCAGCACAGCCCCUUCCUGCCACAUGAGACUGAAUUCAUGCCCUAUGGAUUAAAGGGCAAGGGGGUGCAGCCAAGAAAUCUGUGCUAGUAAUUUAAUUUAGAAUUGUAUUCCUCGACCACUGUAGAGAAUUUAAUUUUUCUCAUUUGUCCCGGGACAAAUUCUUUCCCUAAAUCCAUAUAAAGAACGCUGAUUUACUGAUUCUUUUCCCAGGGUGUGCAUAAUAAUUUACUUUCCUUUUCAAAGUUUUGAGUGUUUUACUACUGGUGAAGGAUUAAGCAGGUGGCUGUUUACGACACAAGUUUUCAACAUGCCCACAUCCAUAGCAGAACACUGGAGUGUAGAACAGCAGUGAGCCAGAAACCUGUUGGAAAAGACAGCAGUGACAAAGGUUGCUCACAUUAACUGCCAAAAACUGCUCUUUCUUUAUUUUCUUCCUAUUUUUUUUUCAGGCUGAGUGCCUGCCUGCUACACUGCGGUUUUUGCAUGAGGGUGAAGAGAGGACUCUUCUCUGUUUGUGGUAGUGUUGGCUUAUUUAGGUUGUGUAUUUUGUCCUUCCUGUUGUUAAUAUAGUUUCAAAAUGAGCAAGUCAGAGGGCAUGUAGGUUCUAAUUAGUAGUUAUCUGAGGCAACUCUUAGAGCAGAAAACUCAUUGAAAUUGUUUUGGAUUUGAACAUACUGUAUCUACUUGAGUGACAAAACGCUAGAAAGCAAAAAAGCCAAAGUUCUUUGUCGGAAGGCAAUUGCUGCAUAGCAACUGCAUAGAGGGGAUGCAGUGAAGCUUGCAUGUAUUCUCCUUUGUUGCUAUUUUUGUCCUUAUUUUCUUCAUGUUCUGAAAUGUACAGAAAUUCUUUAAGUUGUUGGAAUGAGUUUCAUUCAUUGCUACUUAUCCUCUAAAAAAGAGAGAAGCAAAUAACGGCAAUUUCAGUUUUGUAUUUUGGGAAGAAAAAAUGAAAUUUAAUAUGCUAUUCGUGAAGGGAUGCUGUGACUGAGAUUUGAAAUGAAUGUGAUCUUUGAUAUAUGGAAAGCAAGGUUAAAGAAAUGUAAAGAUUCUCCAUGAUAGCAGAUAUUUUCCCCCUGUCUCACUCCAUUUUUGUAUCUAUCUACACAAAUUUCUGUUUUUCUAAAAUAUGACCAACCUUACAAAACCAAAACUUACAAGAGUUAUUAAAACAUAAUUCAACUUUGAACUUAAUGGGGUCCAUGAACAGCAACUGGGAAACAGUUACUUGGAAGAAUAACCUGUUUGUUGUAUAUUGUUAAAUAAAACAGUGGGCUGGGUGUCUUAGCAAAGGGAAAUUUGGAGAGUAAUGGGAUUGUAAAGUGUUUCUUAAUUGCUAAUAAACUUGUGAGUAAGGCUUUC